ACUCCACGCAGAACACAGCGCAGCGUCCUUUAAAGGAAGGCCAAAAACAACCCAACAAAAAUGCCAGGUGAUCAAAGCCGUCACAGCACAAUGUCCACAUCCAACGAGAAAUUGCUGCUAUGUCCAGACGCAGGGAAAGGUGGCCGUGGGAACGUGAGUCAGCAGCAACAGGCCCAGAAGGGCAGCCAUGGUGGACUUGUCAGACGUGGACCCUGAAAUGACAAUCACAGCGUGAUUUCAGGCAGGAGCCUGAAAUGGUACAGCUUUGGACAUCGGUUUGGCAAAUUCUUUUAGAGAGAAACACACACCUUCCCUAGGACCCCGCAACUCCACUCCUAGUAACCAAGUGAAAUGGAAGGAGUUGUCCUCAGCAAAACGUGUGUGCGGAAGUUCACAGUCACUUUCUCUGUGAUAACCAAGAGCUGGAAACCACUGCAACACCCACCAGCAGGUGAACGGAUUAACACACUGGGCUAGGGCCACACAAUGAGAUGCUACGUGGCAACACAAAAUGAACCGUGGACACACACUGCAUGGCGGAUGAAUAUGCAGACAUCAGGCCACGUGAAGGGAGCCAGGCCCCGAGGCGCCACGCUUUGUGAUUCAGGGAAGAAAGCACGCAGCCAAAGAGCGUAAAGAGGCUCAGAGGAGGCCCGGGUGCCCUGGAGAGACGCUGCGUCCUGCUGCUCUUUCCCUGACUGUGGAGACAGACUGCCCAGUCUCCUGCAGCAUUUCAGUUACACACACAGCAUUCCUGUCCCGCAGCAGAGAUUUCCCAGAUGAAGGAUUCCCCGGCGGGAGACGGCCCUGCACACAGGUCCUCUGCCACGCUGCUCACCAUGCCUGUGUGUUAUCUCCCCAUG
rnacentral:antisense_RNA from 1 species